rnacentral:rRNA from 1 species
UACGUAGGCAGCAAGCGUUGUUCGGAGUUACAGGGCGUAAAGAGUGCGUAGGCGGUUUCGUAAGUUUGGUGUGAAAUCUCCCGGCUUAACUGGGAGGGUGCGCCGAAAACUGCGGGGCUGGAGUAUGGGAGAGGUAAGCGGAAUUCCUGGUGUAGCGGUGAAAUGCGUAGAUAUCGGGAGGAACACCAGUGGCGAAGGCGGCUUCCUGGCCUGUUCUUGACGCUGAGGCGCGAAAGCUAGGGGAGCAAACGGG